GGAGUGGUGCUCGAGUGGUUGAAGAGGCACGCCUGGAAAGCGUGUAUACCCCAAAAGGGUAUCGGGGGUUCGAAUCCCCCUCACUCCG
rnacentral:tRNA from 3 species